rnacentral:rRNA from 1 species
UACAGAGGGGGCAAGCGUUAUUCGGAAUUAUUGGGCGUAGAGGGCGCGUAGGCGGCCUGGCAAGUGGAAGGUGAAAUCCCUCGGCUUAACCGAGGAACUGCCCUCCAAACUGCUUGGCUUGAGUCCGGGAGAGGUGAGUGGAAUUCCCAGUGUAGCGGUGAAAUGCGUAGAUAUUGGGAGGAACACCAGUGGCGAAGGCGGCUCACUGGACCGGAACUGACGCUGAGGCGCGAAAGCGUGGGGAGCAAACGGG